rnacentral:rRNA from 1 species
UACGAAGGGGGCUAGCGUUGUUCGGAAUUACUGGGCGUAAAGGGUGCGUAGGCGGUCCGCUAAGUUGGAUGUGAAAACUCUGGGCUUAACCCAGAGCCUGCAUUCAAAACUGACGGGCUAGAGUUCUGGAGGGGGUAGCGGAAUUCCUGGUGUAGCGGUGAAAUGCGUAGAUAUCAGGAGGAACACCGGUGGCGAAGGCGGCUACCUGGACAGAAACUGACGCUGAGGAGCGAAAGCGUGGGGAGCGAACAGG